rnacentral:snoRNA from 13 species
AAUCAGUGAUGAAAACAAUCCAAAACCUGAAUUUCUGAUGAAAAUCUAACGGAUCUGACUGCUGAGAU